GUCUGUUGGUCUGUUGGUCUGUCUGUUUGCGCCAACUUUAACAUUUUGCAAUAACUUUUUCUAUAUUGAAGAUAGCAACUUCAUAUUUGGCAUGCAUGUGUAUCUCAUGAAGCUGCACAUUUUGAGUGGUGAAAGGUCAAGGUCAAGGUCAUCCUUCAAGGUCAGAGGUCAAAUAUAUGUGGCCCAAAUUGCUUAUUUUAUGAAUACUUUUGCAAUAUUGAAGAUAGCAUCUUGAUAUUUGGCAUGCAUGUGUAUCUCAUGGAGCUGCACAUUUUGAGUGGUGAAAGGUCAAGGUCAAGGUCAUCCUUCACAAGGUCAAGGCCAUCCUACAAGGUCAAACAUCAUAUAGGGGGACAUUGUGUUUCACAAACACAUCUUGUUAAAUAUUGAAGAUAGCAGCUUGAUAUUUGGCAUGCAUGUGUAUCUCAUGGAGCUGCACAUUUUGAGUGGUACAAUUUGAAGGUGAACAUCCUCCUUCCAGGUCUAGGGAUCGAAAAAACAAAUCCAAGGGAAGUAAUAAGCUUUAAAUGGACAUAAUUAUCUGACCUGUCAAAUUAUAAUUAUUUUUAACCAGGUUUUCCGAAGGAAAAAAACUGGUUAUUAGAUUGGCGAAUGCGGGCGGGCUGGCUGGCUAGCUGGCUGGCUGGCUGGUGGGCUGGCGGGCGGGCGGAACAAGCUUGUCCGGGCCAUAACUAUGUCGUUCAUUGUCAGAUUUUAAAAUCAUUUGGCACAUUUGUUCACCAUCAUUGGACGGUGUGUCGCGCGAAAUAAUUACGUCAAUAUCUCCAAGGUCAAGGUCACACUUUGAGUUCAAAGGUCAAAAAUGGCCAUAAAUGACCUUGUCCUGGCCAUAACUAUGUCAUUCAUUGUGAGAUUUUAAAAUCAUUUGGCACAUUUGUUCACCAUCAUGGGACGGUGUGUCGCACGAAAGAAUCACGUCAAUAUCUCCAAUGUCAAGGUCGCCAUGACUAAAAAUAGAUUUAAAAAAAAAAAAAACUUACAAAGGGGGUUAAUUUUGUUUGUUCAUUUCAAAAGUUCA